UCCAAAGAGCUCUUGCGUAUGAAAAUACCACAGUACAUCUUAGUUUAUAUUAUAGUCAAUCAAUACUCCGAGCCAAACUUACAAAAUUCGGAGGCGAGUUCAUAUCGAUGAAAUGUUUUACUUAACUUUUUCCGUGUGUUUGUCACUUGAUUUAUUAUAAUUUAUUGAAUUUCUAUUUACUUAUUCUACAUUAUUACGAAUUGGUACUUUCAAUCUUUGAAAACCAAUGACCUCUAGGGAAUGUAAAGACAUUCACUAGAAUUCAUUGGUUUUCAAAGAUAUACUGAUACGUAAUUCUAUUAUUGAAUGUAUAUAUUCUUGUUUGUACCUCUACAGUCUUCAAAAACGACCAACAAUAACCUAAACACGCUUUUGAAGUUGAAAAUCAUCAUGUCGGAACUGACAUUUCAACCUCUAAUUGCUUCUAAACAAUCUUCCCAUUAAAUAUAAAAUAAAGUUGGAACAAAUUAAUUAUCAUCGCGAAUCUAGAUGUUUCCAGUAUUCUACGCAAACACUAUCAUCACUUGUCUUAACAAGCGUAAUUAAGAAAUUUUAGAGAUAAAAUCUUUCAUGUAUAAUAUAUAAGACGACAGAAGAAACAAUAUGACAAUGUGUUAAAGAUUACACUUUAAGUUGGUUGCAAUUCUGGUUUAAGAUCAGGGGGCCCUAUUCGAUUUACGGAGUCAAAUCCGUGUUUUUGCUAUUACGGGCGUUCUAAUCGAAGAACAGCUUUCAGAAGUGGUUUAGGUAAAUAUAAGAUUUCCGGCACUUUAGCAAUAGGGCCCCAGAUCUUACUUCAAUACAUAGACAAUUCUAUAUAAAUUUGUACCAAAAACCCAUAGAUUUCAGAUCAAAACCUCUAAGAUACCCUAAGAAGUUUUAAUUAAUUAAAAUGUUCUUGAAACUCAUCCAAAUGGUAGUUAUACCAUAUUUAUUUGUGUGCAUUGUUAUCAACAAGAUCUUGCAUCAUCGGCAUAUGAACAGGUAGUGUUGAAUAAUUUGAAUAGAAUGAAGAGAGACGUUGCUGUAGGUUAUGUAACUCUAUCGUCACCAAACACAGUUCACGCACGCGAUCGAAUUGUUGUGACAAUUCCGAAUCAAAGAACAAAUGCAUAUCCAGUAUACCCCUCGACUCCAUACGGAACCAGAGCACCUACUGUCAUUUUAAACGUGCCAGGCACGGCAAAUUAACUCCAUUACACCUGAUGCUAAGUGGAGUGGGGUCCUAAAGAAUGUCGACUGAUAAGAGAUGAUUACCCCUCGGCAGUCGAUAGAAU